rnacentral:rRNA from 1 species
CCUACGGGAGGCAGCAGUGAGGAAUAUUGGUCAAUGGGCGCGAGCCUGAACCAGCCAAGCCGCGUGAGGGAUGAAGGUUCUAUGGAUUGUAAACCUCUUUUAUAAGGGAAUAAAGUGUGGGACGUGUCCUAUUCUGUAUGUACCUUAUGAAUAAGGAUCGGCUAACUCCGUGCCAGCAGCCGCGGUAAUACGGAGGAUUCGAGCGUUAUCCGGAUUUAUUGGGUUUAAAGGGUGCGUAGGCGGUCUGUUAAGUCAGCGGUGAAAGUCUGUGGCUCAACCAUAGAAUUGCCGUUGAAACUGGGGGGCUUGAGAGUGUUUGAGGCAGGCGGAAUGCGUGGUGUAGCGGUGAAAUGCUUAGAUAUCACGCAGAACCCCGAUUGCGAAGGCAGCCUACCAAGCCAUGACUGACGCUGAUGCACGAAAGCGUGGGGAUCAAACAGGAUUAGAUACCCCUGUAGUC